GGAAGAGACGCAUCUUUUGUCUUCUUACAAAUUAUAAAGUAUUUUUUACCAAAACAGAAGGUACAGGGGAAGGCUUAAUUGAACACCCACUGGUCGCUCGGAGCCGGUGGAUAGUUAGCCAUGUGUCUGGCUUCCACCGAUCACAGCAACGGUCGUGAGCCCCAGUGUCCUACCCUGGGACGCAUUCCUGGCAUUUAUGGCCCACAGUGUUUGAUGUAUAUGUUUGGGGAUAAUUAAUUGGAAAUAAUUAUCCCAUGUUGGGUAGUGGACCCAUGUAUGAGUUGGUUUCAGUGAGUGAAGUAUCAUCUGUAAGUUUGUCAUGUAUGUAAUGAAAUAUAUCACCAGUAAUGUGGGUGAAAUAAGUACCCACUUGGAUUGGCAGUUAAGAGAAGCCAGGAGUUGUCAUGUAACUAUGUACUGUAAUGUAACACCAGUCAGGUUAUGUGUAGUAAGAGUACAGGAUCUGAGUAAGUGCAGUGGAGUAAGCCGAGGAGUUGCACCUUGGAGUGGUAUGUUAAUAUCUUUGUCCCUUUGUAUUUCAUAUUAAUAAACCUGUUCUUUGAGUAUUUUAGUAGUGUUCAUUUUUCACCACAGUAGUUCACCUAUGUUUCCGUCCAAGUGACUUGAUAUCAAAAUUACUAUACCCACGUGCAGGCCCUCGCCAUGCUACCAAAAGGAACCGAGGUUAAGUGGUAACCAGUGAACGUAAGUAAGUAAGAUAAGGGUGGGCAGUGUGAGUAGGAAUCGCCGCCCUUACAGUUGUGCAUCGGCUUUAAUAUCGCCAACGUUAGAGAUCAGCUCUGACAUUGGCUCCUUCCCCUCGAGUCUGACGUCUAAGUAUUACCUGUACUGUCAUUGUACAUCGUAACCCUGCCCUGUCUAUGUACACGCUGAAUUAAUAUGAACAUGUAUGACGAAUUUACUGAAUAUAAUCUGCCUAUCAA